CUUUCUUCGCAUUUAACUCUUCCGGAUUACCAGCGAAACACGGCUUUAAGUAUACCUGUGAUUUGCAUAAAUGGCUGGAAGGAGAUCCACCCUACYUUAUAAGCAGGGGGCCACGUUAUAAUUUGUGAUCACCUUUUUUUCAAUGGAGAUGACAAUUCGCUAUGUGGUGACAUCC
rnacentral:snoRNA from 1 species